rnacentral:rRNA from 1 species
GAUGAACGCUAGCGGCAGGCUUAAUACAUGCAAGUCGUGGGGCAGCAGGACUGUAGCCCUACAGUUGCUGGCGACCGGCAAACGGGUGCGGAACACGUACGCAACUUACCCUGAACUGGGGGAUAGCCCGGGGAAACCCGGAUUAAUACCCCGUAAUAUAAUGGCGUGGCAUCCCUUUAUUAUUAAAGCUCCGGCGGUUCGGGAUUGGCGUUCGGCUGAUUAGGUAGUUGGUUGAGGUAACGGCUCACCAAGCCUACGAUCAGUAACUGGUGUGAGAGCACGACCAGUCACACGGGCACUGAGACACGGGCCCGAAUCCUACGGGAGGCAGCAGUAAGGAAUAUUGGGCAAGGGAGGCAACUCUGACCCAGCCAUGCCGCGUGGAGGAGGAAGGCCCUCUGGGUUGUAAACUUCUUUUAUAGGGGACGAAACCUGUGUAUUCUUACGCAGUUGACGGUACCAUAGGAAUAAGCACCGGCUAACUCCGUG